AGCUCCAUCUGGACAGAAUGCCCCAGAGGCCAGAUCUGCUCAUCUAAUCGACCCGUCCCGACCAGACAUACCUGCUAGUUUAAGGAUAAAAAUUUAACAUUUCAAGUUUCCUAGCAAACCUCGUAUUCAGGGAUCCACGUUGAUUUGUAUUUUGAUUUCCAUGAUAGUGUUUGAAAUGGUAAAUUUUUUACGCAAUUUGGUGUUAUGGUGAGAAAUAAAGAGCAUGCUUUGGGGAUGAAGUUCAUACCACGCGACCAGACAGAAAAGGCAAAGGAAAAAAGCUCGGAGGAGUCCAGUUAUUCUCCACUUAAUUUCGAAUAGCCUUUUUCCCAAAAUUAACUGAUGAAUUAAUUUUAACCCCAAGAGCAAGGUAGGGAGUUCUUGGAGGGAAGGAUGCCGAUGGUAUAUCGGAAAGAGCCUCUCUAUCGCAGGGUAGAGAUGGUGCUAGCAAAGGUGUGAUGCACAUCUUGAAUACUGUCAUUCGCAGCCCAAGUGAUGGGGUAAUUGAUAAUUUGAUAUGAAUAAUAGCAUGGAUUUCCUCUUCAUAUUCUCUUUCUGUCUCCCUUCAUACAUCUGGUUUUAACUUAAAUUUAGCA